rnacentral:snoRNA from 1 species
UGGAAUAUUUAUAACACACCCAAUAGGAAUCUGGGGUUGUGAUGAGGGGGAUAAAACUUGUGGCUUCCCUAUAAACAAAUUCUCUACAUGU